rnacentral:rRNA from 2 species
UAGAGGUCCGCCUGCCGGUGACUUUAAGUUUAACGGCCGCGGUAUUUUGACCGUGCAAAGGUAGCGCAAUCACUUGUCUUUUAAAUGGAGACCUGUAUGAAUGGCAUCACGAGGGCUUAACUGUCUCCUUUCUCUGGCCAAUGAAAUUGAUCUCCCCGUGCAGAAGCGGGGAUAAAAACAUAAGACGAGAAGACCCUAUGGAGCUUUAGACACCAAGACAGCUUACGUCAAAGGCCUCAUAUAAAAGAUUGAACUACAUAAAUCUCUGUCCUAAUGUCUUCGGUUGGGGCGACCCUGGGGAGAUAAAGAACCCCCAUGAGGACUGGAGAGAUAUCUCCAAAACUAAGAGCUCCCGCUCUAAGAAGCAGAACUUCUGACUGCAAGAUCCGGCAACGCCGAUCAACGGACCGAGUUACCCUAGGGAUAACAGCGCAAUCCUCUUCUAGAGCCCUUAUCGACAAGGGGGUUUACGACCUCGAUGUUGGAUCAGGACAUCCUAAUGGUGCAGCCGCUAUUAAGGGUUCGUUUGUUCAACGAUUAAAGUCCUACGUGAUCUG